GGAGUUUGGGCCGUGUCUCAGUCCCAAUGUGGCCGGUCAUCCUCUCAGAUCGGCUACCAAUCGUCGCCUUGGUGGGCCGUUACCUCACCAACUAGCUAAUUGGACGCGGGUCCAUCCUGUACCACCGGAGUUUUUACCCCUGUGCCAUGCGGCACUGUGGUCUUAUGCGGUAUUAGCAGUCGUUUCCAACUGUUGUCCCCCUCUGAAAGGCAGGUUGCUCAUACAUUACUCACCCGUCCGCCACUAAGUCAUAGAAGGCUUUGACGAAUCUCCGUCUUCUAUGCUUCGUUCGACUUGCAUGUGUUAGGCACGCCGCCAGCGUUCAUC
rnacentral:rRNA from 1 species